rnacentral:rRNA from 1 species
UACGAAGGGUGCAAGCGUUACUCGGAAUUACUGGGCGUAAAGGGUGCGUAGGUGGUUUGUUAAGUCUGCUGUGAAAUCCCCGGGCUCAACCUGGGAAUGGCAGUGGAUACUGGCAAGCUAGAGUGCGGUAGAGGGUAGUGGAAUUCCCGGUGUAGCAGUGAAAUGCGUAGAUAUCGGGAGGAACACCUGUGGCGAAGGCGGCUUUCUGGGCCUUACCUGACGCUGAGACGCGAAAGCGUGGGGAGCGAGCCGG